ensembl:snRNA U1 U1 spliceosomal RNA
AGACUUACCUGCCAGGUAAGAUACUAUGAUCUUGAAGGUAGCUUUUCUAUGACCAGGCUUAUAUAUUGUGAUCCAGAUGUGCUGACCCCUGUGAUUUCCCAAAUGUGGGAAACUUGACUGCAUAAUUUGUGGUAGGUAGAUACUGUGUUCACACUUUCCAU